GGAAGUGGAAAUUACAAUGAUUUUGGAAAUUAUAACCAGCAACCUUCUAACUACGGUCCAAUGAAGAGUGGAAACUUUGGUGGUAGCAGGAACAUGGGAGGACCAUAUGGUGGAGGGAACUAUGGUCCUGGAGGAAGUGGAGGAAGUGGGGGCUAUGGUGGAAGGAGCCGAUAUUGAGCUUCUUCCUACUUACCAUGGCAUUGAUAUGAACCAUGGACAAGUAUAUUCUGCUGCCACAAAGACUGUAAAGUGCUUCAUUUCAACAGCUGAGGCAAGCCAAGUGAUCAUUAAUAAAGCUUUUCUUGCUUCCUUCAGUGGUGUUGGUAGUAAAAUGGAAGGUGUCUUGCUGCAGGUAACUAAUGAAGAAGUGGUCAACCACAGAGUCUUCAAGAAAUAAGAAAUUCUGUACCAUCUGAAAGUAGUUCUUGUUGGUGCCUUCAUUUAAGAAGCACUUUUAAGAUAAAAGGGAAUGUUUUCUGAUUAAAAACUUCAUUUAGUACAGGUUCUUAAUAAAAUUACAAAAAUGAGUGUUGAUUGUAAAGGUUAACAUCAGAUUAGCUAAGGAUAAUGUGUUAUGUUUUAAAUUAGGAUUUGUGAGUAGACAGAUAAGCUCUAUUUUAAAUACAAGUUUUAUAAAAUAAAUACUUUUGUAACCAAA
rnacentral:lncRNA from 1 species